rnacentral:rRNA from 1 species
UACGUAGGGGGCGAGCGUUGUCCGGAGUUACUGGGCGUAAAGCGCACGCAGGCGGUCUGUUAAGUUUGGAGUGACAGUUGGUGACUCAACCACCAAAGUGCUUUGAAAACUGAUAGACUUGAGGGCUUCAGAGGGACACGGAAUUCCGGGUGGAGUGGUGAAAUGCGUAGAGAUCCGGAGGAACACCAAAGGCGAAGGCAGUGUCCUGGGGAGUACCUGACGCUCAGGUGCGAAAGCCAGGGGAGCGAACGGG